CACAUUUCUGGCUUUGUAUACAGUCGCACGUGCUUGUCCCUGUUUCUUUUUGAAGCUCCUGUGGCUAAGAUUUGGGAUGGCUCUUGUGCAUCUCUGCCCCAGUCCGGCUGCAGCAAAAUAAGGGGUGUGGGGGCGGGGGUGACGAGCACCUUGUGUAGAUCAAUACAGCAGGAGUAGGAGCCCUUUAUUGUAGGACAACAGAGGUAUUUAUACAUUCCACACAGCUUGUCUAAUUAACAUAAACUAGAUACAGCAGUCAACCAAUAAGGAAUCUCCACACUUAAUGGCUCGCUUUUGUUACUUCACAAACCACUCCCUCUGGCAUUUUGCCAGGCGCCAUCCAGACUUGUUUACAGACUCUAACACAUCUCAAUAAUCUGGAGCUGGGUGGAGGGACCCGUGACCUCGGAGGACGGCCUGGAUCUGCCUGGACCCCAGGGCAGAGCUUUCUCCUGCAGUGUCCUCGAGUCUCAUUUUCUCUGGCCUCCCUGAAUUCCCUGCACCCAGGUCAGCUCAUCGGCCCAGUUCGGAAUCAGUGAGGAGUGCCCUGCAGAGCAGCCCACGUCCAGCACCUGCCUGAGCCCCGAGGCCCACCCUGGGGAAUCGCCCCAGCAGCCCAGCCCCCUCAGCUCUCUGCAUGCUCGGUCCCUCCCGGUCGCACAGUAGGAGCUUUCCAGUUACCACCCGGCCAGGUUUCCCAGUCCAAUCCACACGCAGCAAAGGCCCCAACGAGGAGCUAAGGCAGACGUCCCUUUGGAGCAUUUUAGAGCAAAAUCCACAGCAUGAACAUACUUAGACGAUGGGACCCAGCGGAACCUCGGAGCCCCAGGACUGACCCUAACUCAAAUGCAGACCAGGCCCAAGCUCCUGGUGCCCCAGGCGACCUUUCUCCUGACUCUCGACCCACGCACACCCUGAAGUAGUGGUUGGUGGGAAGUUUGAGUGACUGGGGGCGGGGGGAUGUUUUUUUUUUGGGGGGGGUGUUUAAGAAGCACCCCACCCCCGCCCCCUCCUGGAGAUGAAACCCAGAGCCAUGCGCAUGCCCGGCGAGCCCUCCGCCCCUGAGCUGGUCCUCAGCCCAGGACGACUAGUUUUAAGGAAAAGGAGUGGGAAUGAAUGCAAAUUAGUGUUCCCAGGACUUACAUGCAAAUAGGUGCUGGUGAGGUGAUGGCAGCGCAUAUUCUCUGAAACAUUUAAAACCCUCC
rnacentral:lncRNA from 1 species